rnacentral:rRNA from 1 species
ACGAACGCUGGCGGCGUGCCUAAUACAUGCAAGUAGAACGCUGAAGACUUUAGCUUGUAAAGUGGAAGAGUUGCGAACGGGUGAGUAACGCGUAGGUAACCUGCCUACUAGCGGGGGAUAACUAUUGGAAACGAUAGCUAAUACCGCAUAACAGCAUUUAACACAUGUUAGAUGCUUGAAAGGAGCAAUUGCUUCACUAGUAGAUGGACCUGCGUUGUAUUAGCUAGUUGGUGAGGUAACGGCUCACCAAGGCGACGGUACAUAGCCGACCUGAGAGGGUGAUCGGCCACACUGGGACUGAGACACGGCCCAGACUCCUACGGGAGGCAGCAGUAGGGAAUCUUCGGCAAUGGGGGCAACCCUGACCGAGCAACGCCGCGUGAGUGAAGAAAAGGUUUUCGGAUCGUAAAGCUCUGUUGUAAGAGAAGAACGUGUGUGAGAGUGGAAAGUUCACACAGUGACGGUAACUUACCAGAAAGGGACGGCUAACUACGUGCCAGCAGCAGC